AUGGCGGCCCCAAUGUUGAACCAGCCCAACGGCCUCCUUGCCAACAUGUUCGCUGCGGGUUUGCUGGAUGAUCAGUUCCAGGAGCUGCAGAUGCUCCAGGAAGGGAGCGCCCCAGACUUCAUCGUCAAGGUUGUCUCACUCUUCUGCGAGGACGGCGAGCGUAUCAUCGGCGAGAUCGCCAAGCUGCUGGACAAGCCAUGUGUGGACUAUGACAAGGUGGGUGGUUUUGUGCAUCAGCUCAAGGGAAGCAGUGCAAGAUCCGUCAAAUAUCAUAUGUUCCGCACACAUCAAGCGGCUCAAAGAGUAGCACUUCACAUCGUGGGGCUCUUCCAAUUAAUUCGUCUUGGUGCUCAGAGAGUGAAGAACAGUUGCAUUCAGUUCCAACAGUGUUGUCAGGAGAAGAGCAGAGAUGGGUGCCUGAACUCACUGCAAUCUGUGAGGAACGAUUUCUAUGAUCUGUGCAGCAUGUUCAAACCACAUGCUUCAGCUGUGCCAGCAGGUCCAGGCCUUAAUCCUAAAGUAUAG
rnacentral:rRNA from 1 species